rnacentral:lncRNA from 1 species
CUACCUCAUUUAGCAUACCAAUACAUUUAAAGUACUGAUCACAUACUCGUUUCUUGCAUUAUGAUAUAUCAUAUCAUAGGUUCGGAUGCUCAGUUCCCUGAUUGCGCAUAGACAUACCAAACUAUCAGCCGUAGUAGUGGUGAGUCCUUAUAUUUCGAGGAUAGACUAUAUUUACUUUUAUGCUUUCAGUUCAGUAGUUAGUUGGAGUUAGUUUGGGCUUGUCCCUCAACUCUUAUUCAGUCAGUUUUUUAGGCUUUUGGACAUUUCAGACCGUUAGUCAAUUUAUCUUUCUUUUAUCAGUUUUAGACAGUUGUUCUCAGACAG